ACUCCUACGGGAGGCAGCAGUGGGGAAUAUUGCACAAUGGGCGCAAGCCUGAUGCAGCCAUGCCGCGUGUAUGAAGAAGGCCUUCGGGUUGUAAAGUACUUUCAGCGGGGAGGAAGGCGAUAAGGUUAAUAACCUUGUCGAUUGACGUACCCGC
rnacentral:rRNA from 1 species